rnacentral:rRNA from 1 species
AGUGAACGCUGGCGGUAGGCCUAACACAUGCAAGUCGAACGGCAGCACAGUAAGAGCUUGCUCUUACAGGUGGCGAGUGGCGGACGGGUGAGGAAUACAUCGGAAUCUACUUUUUCGUGGGGGAUAACGUAGGGAAACUUACGCUAAUACCGCAUACGACCUACGGGUGAAAGCAGGGGAUCUUCGGACCUUGCGCGAUUGAAUGAGCCGAUGUCGGAUUAGCUAGUUGGCGGGGUAAAGGCCCACCAAGGCGACGAUCCGUAGCUGGUCUGAGAGGAUGACCGCCCCCCCUGGAAUGGGAACCCGGCCCAAACCCCUGGGGGGGGCCGCGGUGGGAAUUUUUGGAAAGGGGGGCAAACCCGGGUCCACCCUUCCCGGGUGGGUGAAGAGGCCCUUCGGGUUGUAAAGCCCUUUUUUGGGAAAAAAAAAGCGGCAGGUUAAUCCCCCGUUUUUGUGGGGGACCCCAAAGAAAAAGCCCCGGCUACCUUCG